GAUCAUGGCUCAGAACGAACGCUGGCGGCGCGUUUUAAGCAUGCAAGUCGAGCGGCAAGGGCCUUCGGGCCCCUAGAGCGGCGGACGGGUGAGUAACACGUGGACAAUCUGCCCCCCGGCCCGGGAUAGCCCAGGGAAACCUGGAUUAAUACCGGAUGAGACGGGACCCGCGAUGGCGGGACCCGGGAAAGGCGCUGCGGCGCCGCCGGGGGAUGAGUCUGCGUCCCAUUAGCUAGACGGCGGGGUAACGGCCCACCGUGGCGACGAUGGGUAGCCGGCCUGAGAGGGUGGACGGCCACAUUGGAACUGAGACACGGUCCAGACUCCUACGGGAGGCAGCAGCUAAGAAUCUUCCGCAAUGGGCGAAAGCCUGACGGAAGCGACGCCGCGUGAACGAAGAAGGCCGUGAGGUUGUAAGGUUCUUUUCGGGAGGGGGAACAACCGUGGCAGGGAAUGGCCGCGGGAUGACGUGAAUCCCGGAAUAAGCCCCGGCUAACUACGUGCCAGCCGCGGC
rnacentral:rRNA from 1 species